GCCUGAGGGAGCGCCACGGCCGCCCCUCACCGCCCGGGCCCCCGCGAUGUCAGCCCUCGCUGCAACAAGGAAGGGCUCGCCCGGCCCCAAGCCGGGUGGCCCCGGUGCUUCUGCACGACUCUGCCGAUAUAUUUCGCCUCUUCGGUGAAAUAUACCACUACGCCCUAGUGACCCAUCGUUCCCCACGCGGUGGCUCUCUACGUGGUAUCAAACACCUUGUUUCUUCCAGUGUAUCCAAAUGGUCUGAUAACAACAUUUUUUGAUGAUAAUCAACCAUCUAGUAACAAGCGUGGUGCAGGUAUUUGACAGUAAAAAUUAAAGCUACUUUUGCUUGCUCUCACUAGAGGUAUUCACCACCCACCACUGCCUGUGUUCCAGGCAGUGUUACCACAACUUCUGUGGCUUGGUUUCUAGAGCAAAAAUAUGCAUUUAUUAUUAUUAAUAUUUACUAAGCAUACAUUUUUAGCAAGUGUUCUCCAAUAUCUGGUUAAAAUGUGAAUACUUCUGCACAUAAACCUGUUUGCUACAAUAUUUGAGGAAAGCAAACACAAAUGUUCAGAACAUAAAACCAAAAAUUAUUUUAAAAAAUAUUUAAUAUUUUUGAGAGAUACUCUGUUCCAAUGACUAUAUUUGCAUAUUUGUAUUAGACCAAUAUGUUUUUAUUACCAACAUACUACAAAAUUUGAAUAAGCUUCCUGUGGUUUCAUGCUCAGUACAUUUCCCUUUGCAGAUCCAUAUACUGUUAGAGUUGUCCUUAAUUUCAUCCUGCUUUUAGAAAACUGUGUUGCCUUUUUUUCUGCUCAGGAGGAGCUGCCUGCACAUAUGUAGCCUAAUUCAAAACCCACUGAUGAUGAUAAUGAUGAGACUUUAGUGAAUUUUACUGUGCUUGGUGUUCAGCCCAUAAUAUUACACCACGCAGAUGGGCAAUAGUCCGAAUCACACCCAGUAUUCAAGGAUCUCCUAAAGAGCAAAACAUUGUCAUUGCUAUGUUACCACUGUGUUUGGAGCAGAAGGAUUUUGAGAUCAAAGACUCCUACAAACAUGAGUCUCAGUUUUUUGCUCUCUCAGUGCCACCCUUUUAACAAAUUCUGUAGCAAAUGGCAAAUUUAAAGCAGCUGAGAAUGAGGCUGUACUUUCAAUAAACAAAACUAAGUCUUGUGAAUUCUAAACAGUUCUGAAAAGACUAUGCUUCCUGGUGGAUCUGGCACCAAGAGCCAUUGCCAGGAAGAGGCCUUCUGCAGGUUAGGCAUAAAACUCGAGAUGCCUUUACAAUAGCUCAUCGCACAGAUGAGCUAUGGGAAUGAUCACAGGGCUGCCCAAAACUUUUUAUUUGGAAAAUUCUGAUGACUUUGCCCUAUCCUGUCUAUACAGGUUUGUAUUAUGUGUAUCCUUCUUUAUUAUACCAACAGAGUUUCCUUAAAAGCAGGACAACCAGGCCAGUCCCCGCGCCAAAAAGCUGAGGAAAUGGCUACUUAAUUGCUGCCAGCUUUGGAGGAAAGAAAAACUUGGAGGGUGGUCUUCUUUCCCUUGCAUAAAGUAGUCAGUUCACAGUUCACCAUGGAGUUAGAAGUGAUCACCCCUGAUGUGAGUCAGGUCUUAGUUCUCAUGGCCAAAACUGCAUAGUGAUGUAGAACACCUACUCCACUGAGCAUAAUACCUGGUGAGUGUGAAGGGGUCUCCAGAACUGCUCGCUGGCUUAGGUACACCAUAAUUUGACUGAUGACAAAAAGUAUGUCAGACAAGAUGUAGUGGUAUCUGAAUGAUCUCUCUUUAAGAAAAACAGAUGCACAAUGUAUUUCAUUCAAAGAGAAGCCAGGCAAAAUUAUGUUUAGGUUUUAUUUUGUUGCAACCAAGGACCUUCAACAUCUUUAUGAUUCUUGAUGUUUCAUUUUCAAUUGUAGGCUUUUAAAUAAUAGAAAAUAUUAGAAAUUGCCUCAGAAGACACUUUAAAGAUAUGGGAUGUCUACCCUUUGUGAUUUUUGAAAGGUUCUCUCAGGCUGAGAGGGACCCUGGGAGAAUACCUCAUCCAACCUCCUGGGUAACCAACAGGGAUAAAGGCUAAGAAGCUAGAUAGGAAGUAUCCAAAAUGUAAUAUAUUUUGACAUCACAUGGCUUUUAAACCAGUGUCACAAAAUUUUAAAAACCUAAUCCAUCAUCUUUGAACAGCUGAUGUUGACAAUACUGCUAAUGUUAAGUGGGUUUACACGUUCUGUGAGAUGCCUGUUACAUGCUGGUCUAUCUUCCAGUGCAGGCAAAUCAGUGUCAUAACUUGGUAGCUUUACCUUAUGUAAGUAAAGAAAAAGAACAAAACUACCAAACAGAAAAUCCCAUUAACUGUCUUUCAGAUCAGAUCAUGUACAUAAUCUCUACUGGACUGGCCCUUCACCAUGAGAACAAGUCUUAUUGAUCUGGCAUUGAUGUCUUCAAGUAAGAAAAUAUCAAAAUGCUUCAGUAGUCUUCUCACUAUAGAGUGGAAAGGAUGACAAUUCAUCAUUUACUUGAUUACUUUCAAGAAAGCAAUGAAAUGGCAUUAAAAAUUGUACUACAACAACUGCUAUUGUUUUGAA